rnacentral:rRNA from 1 species
CUCCUACGGGAGGCAGCAGUAGGGAAUAUUGCACAAUGGGCGAAAGCCUGAUGCAGCAACGCCGCGUGCGCGAAGAAGGCCUUCGGGUUGUAAAGCGCUUUUCUGGAGGAAGAGGAAGGACGGUACUCCAGGAAUAAGGAUCGGCUAACUACGUGCCAGCAGCCGCGGUAACACGUAGGAUCCGAGCGUUAUCCGAAUUUACUGGGCGUAAAGCGCGUGUAGGCGGUCGGGUAAGUUGGACGUGAAAGCUCCUGGCUCAACUAGGAGAGGUCGUUCAAAACUGCCUGGCUAGAGGGCGACAGAGGGAGGUGGAAUUCCCGGUGUAGUGGUGAAAUGCGUAGAUAUCGGGAGGAACACCAGUGGCGAAGGCGGCCUCCUGGGUCGCACCUGACGCUCAGACGCGAAAGCUAGGGGAGCGAACGGGAUUAGAUACCCCGGUAGUCCUAGCUGUAAACGAUGUGGACUUGGCGUUGGUGGGGUUAAAUCCAUCAGUGCCGGAGCUAACGCGAUAAGUCCACCGCCUGGGGACUACGGUCGCAAGAUUAAAACUCAAAGGAAUUGACGG